rnacentral:rRNA from 1 species
UUGGAGGGCAAGUCUGGUGCCAGCAGCCGCGGUAAUUCCAGCUCCAAUAGCGUAUAUUAAAGUUGUUGCAGUUAAAAAGCUCGUAGUUGAAUUUCGGGGUCAGUAGGUCGGUCGUGCCACUGGUAUGAACUGGUUUUACUGAUUUCUCCCUCUUGAAGAACUGUAAUGCCAUUAAUUUGGUGUUGCAGGGAAUCAGGACUGUUACUUUGAAAAAAUUAGAGUGUUUAAAGCAGGCUUUAGCUUGAAUACAUUAGCAUGGAAUAAUGAAAUAGGACGUUUGAUCCUAUUUUGUUGGUUUCUAGGAUUGACGUAAUGAUUAAUAGGGAUAGUUGGGGGCAUUAGUAUUCAAUUGUCAGAGGUGAAAUUCUUGGAUUUAUUGAAGACUAACUACUGCGAAAGCAUUUGCCAAGGAUGUUUUCAUUAAUCAAGAACGAAAGUUAGGGGAUCGAAGACGAUCAGAUACCGUCGUAGUCUUAACCAUAAACUAUGCCGACUAGGGAUCGGAUGAUGUUAAUUUUUUAAUGACUCAUUCGGCGCCUUACGGGAAAC